CCUACGGGGGGCUGCAGUAGGGAAUCUUCCACAAUGGGCGAAAGCCUGAUGGAGCAACGCCGCGUGGGUGAAGAAGGUCUUCGGAUCGUAAAACCCUGUUGUUAGAGAAGAAAGUGCGUGAGAGUAACUGUUCACGUUUCGACGGUAUCUAACCAGAAAGCCACGGCUAACUACGUGCCAGCAGCCGCGGUAAUACGUAGGUGGCAAGCGUUAUCAGGAUUUAUUGGGCGUAAAGGGAACGCAGGCGGUCUUUUAAGUCUGAUGUGAAAGCCUUCGGCUUAACCGGAGUAGUGCAUUGGAAACGGGGAGACGUGAGUGCAGAAGAGGAGAGUGGAACUGCGUGUGUAGCGGUGAAAUGCGUAGAUAUAUGGAAGAACACCAGUGGCGAAAGCGGCUCUCUGGUCUGUAACUGACGCUGAGGUUCGAAAGCGUGGGUAGCAAACAGGAUUAGAUACCCCAGUAGUC
rnacentral:rRNA from 1 species